GACGGAGGAUGCAAGCGUUAUCCGGAAUCACUGGGCGUAAAGCGUCUGUAGGUGGUUCGUAAAGUCCACUGUUAAAAAUUGAGGCUUAACUUCAAAGAUGCCGUGGAAACUUUCAAACUAGAGUAUGGUAGGGGUAGAGGGAAUUUCCAGUGGAGCGGUGAAAUGCGUAGAUAUUGGAAAGACCACCGAUGGCGAAGGCACUCUACUGGGCCAUUACUGACACUGAGAGACGAAAGCUAGGGGAGCAAAUGGG
rnacentral:rRNA from 1 species